AGUCGAGGGGCAGCAUGGUCUUAGCUUGCUAAGGCCGAUGGCGACCGGCGCACGGGUGAGUAACACGUAUCCAACCUGCCGUCUACUCUUGGACAGCCUUCUGAAAGGAAGAUUAAUACAAGAUGGCAUCAUGAGUCCGCAUGUUCACAUGAUUAAAGGUAUUCCGGUAGACGAUGGGGAUGCGUUCCAUUAGAUAGUAGGCGGGGUAACGGCCCACCUAGUCUUCGAUGGAUAGGGGUUCUGAGAGGAAGGUCCCCCACAUUGGAACUGAGACACGGUCCAAACUCCUACGGGAGGCAGCAGUGAGGAAUAUUGGUCAAUGGGCGAGAGCCUGAACCAGCCAAGUAGCGUGAAGGAUGACUGCCCUAUGGGUUGUAAACUUCUUUUAUAAAGGAAUAAAGUCGGGUAUGGAUACCCGUUUGCAUGUACUUUAUGAAUAAGGAUCGGCUAACUCCGUGCCAGCAGCCGCGGUAAUACGGAGGAUCCGAGCGUUAUCCGGAUUUAUUGGGUUUAAAGGGAGCGUAGAUGGAUGUUUAAGUCAGUUGUGAAAGUUUGCGGCUCAACCGUAAAAUUGCAGUUGAUACUGGAUAUCUUGAGUGCAGUUGAG
rnacentral:rRNA from 1 species